UACAGAGGUCCCAAGCGUUGUUCGGAUUCACUGGGCGUAAAGGGUGCGUAGGUGGUGAGGUAAGUCGGAUGUGAAAGCUCGGAGCUCAACUCCGAAAUGGCAUUGGAAACUACCUUGCUCGAGGGUUGGAGGGGGGACUGGAAUACUUGGUGUAGCAGUGAAAUGCGUAGAUAUCAAGUGGAACACCAGUGGCGAAGGCGAGUCCCUGGACAACUCCUGACACUGAGGCACGAAGGCUAGGGGAGCAAACAGG
rnacentral:rRNA from 1 species